rnacentral:lncRNA from 1 species
GUUUGGUUCCGGUUGACUGCUAGAUCUAAAACGAACCGAUUUGGUUUCAGUCUUCAGGUCCUAGCUGAGGCGAUAAGCCUCACAACUUAAAUCAAUAAAUUAGGAUUCGGAUCAUAGAAGUGUGUGCACCACUGAGUUAAGAAGCACAGCCUCAUCUGAGCAGAGGUCUCUGGUGAGACCCCUCCGGCCGCUGCAGGUGGAAAGCUGUUGUUUGCUGCUACUAUGGUGCCUCUCUUUCCACGGGGUGAAGUCAGGGUGAAAACUUUGGAAACCCUUCCUUCUGGCUUUUUGAGAUAUACUGUACAACUCUCUCUGCAGUCACCCUGCUAUGCAACCUCGUGCUAAAAUUCUUCUAGCUUUCUGAGUGUGAACUAAAGUUUCUUCUUCAUAGUUAGCAUUUCACUUCAUCUGAAAAGCUACAGGUACAAAGAUUAAA